GUGGGGAAUUUUGGACAAUGGGCGCAAGCCUGAUCCAGCCAUGCCGCGUGCAGGAUGAAGGGCUUCGGGUUGUAAACUGCUUUUGUACGGAACGAAAAAGCUCUCUCUAAUACAGGGGGUGAAUGACGGUACCGUAAGAAUAAGCACCGGCUAACUACGUGCCAGCAGCCGCGGUAAUACGUAGGGUGCAAGCGUUAAUCGGAAUUACUGGGCGUAAAGCGUGCGCAGGCGGUUUUGUAAGACAGGCGUGAAAUCCCCGGGCUCAACCUGGGAAUUGCGCUUGUGACUGCAAGGCUGGAGUGCGGCAGAGGGGGAUGGAAUUCCGCGUGUAGCAGUGAAAUGCGUAGAUAUGCGGAGGAACACCGAUGGCGAAGGCAAUCCCCUGGGCCUGCACUGACGCUCAUGCACGAAAGCGUGGGGAGCAAACAGGAUUAGAUACCCUUGUAGUCC
rnacentral:rRNA from 1 species